AGACCCGAAACCCGGUGAUCUAGCCAUGGGCAGGUUGAAGGUUGGGUAACACUAACUGGAGGACCGAACCGACUAAUGUUGAAAAAUUAGCGGAUGACCUGUGGCUGGGGGUGAAAGGCCAAUCAAACCGGGAGAUAGCUGGUUCUCCCCGAAAGCUAUUUAGGUAGCGCCUCGUGAAUUCAUCUCCGGGGGUAGAGCACUGUUUCGGCUAGGGGGCCAUCCCGGCUUACCAACCCGAUGCAAACUGCGAAUACCGGAGAAUGUUAUCACGGGAGACACACGGCGGGUGCUAACGUCCGUCGUGAAGAGGGAAACAACCCAGACCGCCAGCUAAGGUCCCAAAGUCAUGGUUAAGUGGGAAACGAUGUGGGAAGGCCCAGACAGCCAGGAUGUUGGCUUAGAAGCAGCCAUCAUUUAAAGAAAGCGUAAUAGCUCACUGGUCGAGUCGGCCUGCGCGGAAGAUGUAACGGGGCUAAACCAUGCACCGAAGCUGCGGCAGCGACACUGUGUGUUGUUGGGUAGGGGAGCGUUCUGUAAGCCUGC
rnacentral:rRNA from 1 species